GCGGCGGGGUCCCGAGCCUCGCAACCGCGCGCCGAAUGCAGUGUACUUUUGCAAAAGUUGUUUCAUUAUUAAAUGGGCUCCUGGUAGGAAAAUCGGAACUAUAGACACAGAUGUCCCACGGCCACUCCCCGCAGAGACGGGCGCUGCUGCGUGGGGCCCCGGUUCGACCUCUGUCGCCUACACGGGGGUCUGUGUAUCGCUUGUACCCUCUGAGAGCCCAGGCGCCGUCCGCUGCCCCCCUCUGGAGCCCCUUUCAGUUCACUGUGCAGGGCAGCGGGAGAAUCAACCACCGCUCCGGGAUGAUGUAGAAGCAGAGGCCUGGGAAACUACCAGGUCAACCUCACGCCUGCCCGAUGCCCACUCAGCACUGGCCACGAGGGGCCCAGAGUCUGCCAGCGAGGAUGUCCUCCUUCUCUGGCUGGGAGUCUCCAGCCUCUUCAGGAAAGAAGCCGGAGAGGCUAUUCUGAACCUGAUUCCUUACCCGUGACAUGGGAUGGAGGAUGACAAGCUUACUUCCCAAGAUGUUGUGAGGCCUGAAUGAGACCAUUCAUGUGAAGCCCUUCCCUCGAGUCUUGCACACGCCGCUGUCACGCAGUGGGCACGAAGAGACCUCAGCCAGCUUCCUGGGGCCUGAUGACAGCCAAGCUGCAACUCUUCCGGCGGCACCAUGAUGCUCCAUGCCAGGCACCUGGCCUCAUCUCAUCCUCCCUGCAGCACUAAGAGGUAUUGUGAACACCGAUCAUUUCUGAAACACAAAUCUUGAUCUGGAUACUUGCAACAAACUUUUAUAAUCUCUGCCUGAAUAAGAAGUGGAUAAGAAACGUACUUAUAAAAUCAAGAAACAGAACAUUCAGGCUCCCCAAAUGUCUCUUGUGUCCUCAUCCAGGAGCUACCGAUCCCCCCACGAUCCUGACUUCUAAUAGCAGGGAAACGUAGUUAGAUCACCUUGAAUAAGAUGUUGAAUCCUUGGCCAAUAAGCCCACACCUGGUGUAGAGGAACCAUCAGUAAUCCUGAGAUUUAUUGCAUCAGAUUCCUGGGUUAGUGGAAAGAAUGUUCAGCUCAUGGGGAAACCCAAGAAGCU